ACCCACAAAAGCUUCACCUACAAAAGCUUCAACACAAAAGUUUCACCUACAAAAGCUUCAACACAAAAGCUUCACCUACAAAAGCUUCACACUAUCUUGAUCAAGAUAGUGUGAAGCAAAAUCAAUUCAUGGUACCCAACAAAGCUUUAACCUCAAAACUUCAACCUACAAAGCUUCACCUAUAAAGCUUAAUAUAUAUA
rnacentral:lncRNA from 1 species